CUCUGCUGGAGUUUUGUGGGUGAGCCCAGGAUAAGGCCAUCCACCUCCAGAAGGAAUCUUCUUCCACUGCAGUACCUCUGCCCUUUGAAUGGGCUUGACCUGAACAGUAGUCAGCAACAAAAGGUUAUUCUUUCUAAGAGAGGAAGACCUAGUAAUGGAAAAUGAGACAGAGAACGGAUUUUUAAGAAUCCAGUUUGUCUUCACCCUAGCAAUAAGU